GCGACCCAAGUUAGGCGGGA
rnacentral:rRNA from 1 species